rnacentral:rRNA from 1 species
GACGAACGCUGGCGGCGUGCUUAACACAUGCAAGUCGAACGGAAAGGCCCUGCUUUUGUGGGGUGCUCGAGUGGCGAACGGGUGAGUAACACGUGAGUAACCUGCCCUUGACUUUGGGAUAACUUCAGGAAACUGGGGCUAAUACCGGAUAGGAGCUCCUGCUGCAUGGUGGGGGUUGGAAAGUUUCGGCGGUUGGGGAUGGACUCGCGGCUUAUCAGUUUGUUGGUGGGGUAGUGGCUUACCAAGGCUUUGACGGGUAGCCGGCCUGAGAGGGUGACCGGCCACAUUGGGACUAAGAUACGGCCCAGACUCCUACGGGGGGCAGCAGUGGGGAAUAUUGCACAAUGGGCGGAAGCCUGAUGCAACAACGCCGCGUGCGGGAUGACGGCCUUCGGGUUGUAAACCGCUUUCGCCCGUGACGAAGCGUGAGUGACGGUAAUGGGUAAAGAAGCACCGGCUAACUACGUG